GGGAACAAUCCUGGGCGGCGAGUGGCGAACGGGUGAGUAAUACAUCGGAACGUGCCCAAUCGUGGGGGAUAACGCAGCGAAAGCUGUGCUAAUACCGCAUACGAUCUACGGAUGAAAGCAGGGGAUCGCAAGACCUUGCGCGAAUGGAGCGGCCGAUGGCAGAUUAGGUAGUUGGUGAGGUAAAGGCUCACCAAGCCUUCGAUCUGUAGCUGGUCUGAGAGGACGACCAGCCACACUGGGACUGAGACACGGCCCAGACUCCUACGGGAGGCAGCAGUGGGGAAUUUUGGACAAUGGGCGAAAGCCUGAUCCAGCCAUGCCGCGUGCAGGAUGAAGGCCUUCGGGUUGUAAACUGCUUUUGUACGGAACGAAACGGCCUUUUCUAAUAAAGAGGGCUAAUGACGGUACCGUAAGAAUAAGCACCGGCUAACUACGUGCCAGCAGCCGCGGUAAUACGUAGGGUGCAAGCGUUAAUCGGAAUUACUGGGCGUAAAGCGUGCGCAGGCGGUUAUGUAAGACAGUUGUGAAAUCCCCGGGCUCAAUCUGGGAACUGCAUCUGUGACUGCAUAGCUAGAGUACGGUAGAGG
rnacentral:rRNA from 1 species